ensembl:lncRNA
UUCACACCCAGGCUUCCGGUCUCAGGUGCAGGGUUGAAAAGGAGACUGAAGUAUUCCGACAUAGAGAACAGCAAAUUACCUUCGCGGAACCUGUAGUUUCCAGGUCACCGGACAAGAGAAAUUCAACCAUGCCCCGAUCCACAGAUCAGUGACGCAGAACGGGAAAAAUAAAGAGCACAGAAACACGGGAAGGACGCGGCCUGCUGAGAGCAUAAAGAUAGACAAUCCUGGAUUCGCCCUGGGAGCCCUAGACGUUUCUGGACUCUGCAGAGACAGGACAUCGAGGUCCAGGUCUUUUCCUCUGGUCAUCACUGUGGUGCGCAGACAGAAGACUCGCGUUGGGCAGCAGGACCCGGGGGUAGACCGUGUUUGUUGUUUGCCCUUGCGGUCGUCCUUCCUCCCACACCUCAGCAGCACGACGUGACCUCAGAAAGCCAUCCCAAGUCACGCAUGCCCCCAAAGGGGACUCUGAAGUCUCCUCCCUAGUGAGAGGCGCUCUGGUCGCAGCCCUUUGCAGGCCCGGCUGUACCACAGGACCAGUGUGUACCGUCAGGAAGGCCCUGCGAGGGGCGGCAGCCCAGGCUCAGGCACGGGGGUCUUCCACCUGAAGUUUGCACAGAGCCUGACUGCAGCUGCCUGACUCGGUGGAGUGAGCAGGAAAGCUGUUUUCUAGAGUUUGUGGGACAAACCGGAAGUACUGCUGGUUCGUGCUGUGACUAGGAAGCAACAUCCAGUGUGCAUCUGAUAUUAAGAGCAACGGCUUCUCUUCUCGCUGUGCACAGUAUUUCACGGCUGCUGUAGGCAAACACGCCGAGUUUUGACCAAGGCUAAGGAGACGCUUCAGAACACAGCCAAGUGAGAGAUGUUUUGAAAAGGCCCCAUGCAAGAGGACUUUCUACAGUGAGGAGACAAUCCCAGCAGAGUAGAAAUGCGGGUUUGAUAGGGAAAGAGCGUAAACAGAUUACAGGGAUUCUAACAGAUAAAAACAAAGCCUGUCCACAGCCCAUGGAGGUGAUCAUGCAAGGUACACCUGAGAGGUCAGCCAGGGGUUCACAAAGGAAGGCAGACUUUCCACGGGAAAGGCAAGGGACGCAAACACAGGGCACAGCAUGGGCCAAGUGACCGUGAGGACAGAAGGACCCAGAAAUGGCAGAUUGCGUUCAGCGUUCUGGAGUUACCACCUUGAUCCAGGAGCCGUACCUUCUGCCCGGUCCAUCGCGACACUUCCCACAUGGUCUCCCCGCGUCUGUUUCUGCAGCACUCUAUCUUAUUUGCCAGAGUGAUUCGGAGGCUCCAGUUCACGACCGACUGGCCCUGUUGUUCUGGGCCUGUGAGGUGGCAGCGCAUCAUGGGGACAUGGAUGGCAGAGCCAUUCAGCCCACUGAGCAGCUGCGGACGAGAGGAAGAGGCGGCUGGGUCUCCUUGCCUGCUUAGGAGCCUACUCCAGAGCCCGAAGACCUCUGCCAGGCCUGGCCGUCAAGGUCUAGCAGAUGAACUGGCAUACAGCAGGCACUCAAUAAAUAUCUGACCAGUGAAUGUAUCAACUGAUGUGGAAGACAACACUAAUGGUGAUAAAAGGAGUUAACUAAAAGGCAAGUAUCUGUUACCAAGGAACAUCGAGUCUAAUCUGAGGGGAAAACAUCACACCUAUGCAAAAGAAUCUAAAGCGUUACAGAUUGAAUGCAUCCUACCCAAGAAGACAGAGCAGAGCGGGAGAUUUUAUUAUGUAUAUUUCAUGGGCCAUCUGUUUCUUUUGCAUUUCUCCAUGCUGCCUAAUAUGGUCUCUGCACAUAACUGUUGUCUAUGACUAACUGAUUAUUUUUUAAAAUAUGCAAGUACAAGUAGAAAAUACAAUGGAAAGCAAAGCUAAAGUGAAGACUUAAAUUACCCAUGAUUUAAUUUUUCCAUGCUUGAUAACAAACACGGCUGAAUGUGAAUUGGCUUUUAUUUGGCUGUUGGACAUUCAUCACAGCAACUUUUUUAUGGCACGGUACAAUAUUUCCAAGACACUUGUAGUUAAAAAGAAAUCUUAUUUAAAACUUUCAAUUUUGAAUGCUUUAUUCUUUCCUGUCUGUGACCCUUAUAAACGUUGACAAACUAGGUUAUACAGUUUCCAUGAUAAUCAAGUUUGUUAUAAGUUGGUUAAAUUCCUAGAGUGUAAAUGAAGAACAUGUAAUUUAUUGAGUUGAUCAUUGAUUCCAAAAAUUGUUGAAUUUCACUACUUCUAUAGGCUGGGAACAGAAACUUAAAUGAGAUCUUGCUCCAGUUCUUGAGAAGCAUACAGUGCAUUCGUUUAUCUAUCUGAUGCUUUUAAACACUUGAGAAGUAGCAGAUUCCAGACACUGUCUCAAGCACUGGAAAUGGAAUUGUGAAUGAGGCUGUCAAGGUCCCUGGGGUCAAAAACUGAAGGUUCCCAGAAACACAAAUGGAAUAAAUGCCAACAAAUGAGAUUUUCCCUAAAGGAGAAGAAGAUAAGAGAGUGAAGUGUUUAGUCACCGUUUGGUUGGGGGGCCAAAUAUGCAGCACACACAACUUAUAUGAGGAAGGGUUUAUUUUUGCUUUUGGUUUCAGGGGAUUCAGUCCAUGGUCAGCUGCUCCAAGGCAGAAAUAUCAUGGUGGAAGGGUGUGGGGGAGCAAAGCUGCUUAGCUCAUGACGGCUAGGAAGCAGAGCAGAGGGCAGGGCCAGACCGGAAGGGGUGAGGGACCAACAUAGAUCCCAAGGUCACCCCUCCAUACCCACCUAGGCACACCGGAAGUUGCUUUGCUAAUCUCUUAGCUGGCUCCCAAGCCAAUCAGGUUGAUAGGUACGCUUAUGCCUCACAGGUGCGUAUACCAGGAGGCAGACUGAAGUCUCCAGGAGGGGCCUGUCUGUGGGAAAAGGCAAGCCCAGGGAGGAAGGAUGGGUGUGCAGACUUGCAGCUUAGCUCAGGGCAAGCAGGGCUCUCAGAGCAGCAAGGAGUGAAUAUAGAAUCUGCUGGCGGUACUGAAAGGGAAAGAUAAACAUUGCCAUUUGUCUCCAGCAUAGUUUUACCCAGCCAAGACGCUAGGCCUGGCCAGAUGGUCAGGGGUGGGACUUAGCAGUCAGAGGGAACAGUGUGUGCAGCAUCUGAGGGUUGUAACACCGCAGAGAAAGCGAACAAGUGGAGUGACAGCUCCCAUGAGGGGCUGGUGGGUGUGGCUGGGCCUAGGGAAAAUGGCCUGGGGAAUCUUGCUUCCUCAUCUGCACCUCAGGCAUUUAGAGGGGUGCUAAGCCCGAGAGAAGGGUGCGGGAGAGGGCUCUGGGUGCUGUGAGAAACCACAGUGUGGCAGAGGCUGCUGAGCUGCCUGGUGUGGCGCCCUGCUGGCCGAGGCGGGGCUCAGCUACAGGACAGAGAUUUGCUUUGGGGCCCAGAUGGCAGUGCUGGGGCCCUGGACACAGGAACAGAGAAGCAGGACUGCAGGGUUUCAAAAUGUUUGGGGAAGGAACAAACUGUGUCGUAUAAAUGCAGAUUAUGCUGGUGUUAUUGAUGCAUAGACUGGGUUGUCUUUUUAAAAUGUGUGAGAAAUAAACUGAGGCCAUUACAUUUCCCUUUCUGAAGAGCAGUUAUGAAGAUGGGUAAUAGUCUUUUCUGAAGCGAUAAACUGGGCAACCUUUAAGGAAUUUUUUUCACAAAUAAAAAAUGUCUAUCUACUAUUGACAUUCAGUUUAUGAACAAGGACAGAAAAAAUUGGGAACAGAGAGAUUCAUAACAACAACUUGAAUUCUCUAAUGCAGAAUUGUUGUAAAGGAUUUUAUCCGCUUUAGAGAGAGCUGUUAUCUCAAAGGGCUGCAAUUUUCUCCGUGGUGUCCUGUUUGGAGAGCACAAAUUUACUGGACUGUUGUAUGCAAUUUCCCACCUUCUGUGGUGAAGUAACAGCAUUUUCACAUAAGCAUAAGGAGGGCUGUGGAACAAUGUCUUGUUCCACAUGCUGGUUUGGUUUGAUUAGCUCUAUGAGAGCCACCUUGUCAUGAGAAGCCUUAAUUGCAAUAAUUCUUCAGCAGAACUCAGUGGUGUCUUGUAGGCAAAGCUACUAUUUAAGCUUUUGCUAGUGCCCGGCCAAGCAGAUGUGUUUAUUUACAUGUCUGAUCUAAUCAGCAAGACAGAGCGGACCCUGCUCCCAGCCUUGCACUUUUAAUGCAAGAUAAAAGAGGAGGAGAGAGGCACGCAGUUGGGGCUCCCGGAAUGAGAGUGGAAACAUAGAGAAGCCCUGGGUGUGACUCAGAACGGAGCAGCUGUGCCCUCCCAGCUGCGGUGGACCGACACAGCCAGGGGCAGACAGCUGUGCCCUGGUGUGGGAUGUGCAGCCCUCUCCUGUGUGCUGGGCAGCAGAGGUCCUGACCUGGUCCUCGGACUCCAUCAGUUUCAGGGCUGGCUCAAUCCGGAACAGGUCCCAUGCGAGCUUCAGAGGACUCUUGUCUCCCAGUAUGGGUCAAAUGCGGGGGCUGCCAGAAAGGCUUUACAAGUGCCGGGUGGAUGGAGUGGGAGGAGCCGGGCUGAAUCAUGAAGUGGUCUUCCAGGGAGGAAGACAGAGCAGGGCAGACCCCAGUGAGGCACACAGCUCAGGGCAGGACAGGGGAUGCAGCUGGCCAGGGCGGCAGGAAAUUGAACGAGUGCCACUUUGUCUUUCUAGGGCACAAUUUUAAAAAUGUCCCACGUUAAGAUUUUCAUUUCCUGUCACUUCUUGAUCCUUUUCCUGCGUGCUUAAUGGCAUCGUGCAGUAAUGGAAAUCUCAAGUAGAAAACAGUGUCCAACAAUUAUAGUAUCAGCCAUGGCUUCGGAAUUUGGUCCUGUUUCUACUCAGUCAAGAAAAGAAUGUUUUCAGUUGAAAUUAUAUCUUGAAAAGUUCAUUUAGUUACUGUUCUAUUGUUCUGGUCAUUAGUUAGAAAAACAGGAGCAAAACCACACAGACACACACACACACACCCACACAGUCCUACAGAAAAACACACUGUAGCUUAUACCUGGUCAUUUGAGUCUGGAUAAUUUUGAGCUUUUUAAUUUUUCUUUCUUAAACCUCUGUGUCAUGGAAAGUAGCUUUAUCAAAGAUGACAAGGGCCUGGGAUGUAGCUCAGUGGUUCCGGCGCCUGCCUCACAGGCGCAAGGUCCUGAGUUCAAUCCCCAAUACCAAACAAACAAAGGUGAUGAGGAGUUUGUGGCUCCCCAGUGGAUUGACCCUGGCAGUGAGAAAUGGCAGCAGCAGAAACCAACUCUGAAGGGAAAGUUAGAGUCAGCGAGGGCUUUGGGCUUUGGGCUUUGUCUCUGUUGGUUUUGUUGGCGUCGGCUCACUGUCACUGGGACCAGGGACUCCUCAGUUGGAUCCUGAAAGUUUAGUAUGCAUUGCUGACAGUAAGGAAGGUGG